GACCCCGCAGCGACGUGGCUGGAGUAGGGUCUGGAGAGAGCUCUCACUGUGGCGAGUCCUGUCGGUGGAUUCCCGCGGCGCCCCGUGAGGCUCCGCCCCGGCAGUGCCACCAAACCCUGUUCGAUUUUAGAAUCGUACAUUCCCAGAGGGAAUCCUAGACCCCUCAUUUUACAGUUGAGGAAACAGGCCCAAGUAGCAUGACUUGUUCGCGCCGCUAGUCGAAGGAGCAGCAGCCCCGAUCCCUUGACUCCGGGGCGUUGCUUUCCCUUUAGCUCAUUUUUGGAGGAAAUGGGUCAGCCCUUGCUCGACCUUUGGUGAUUGUCGCCACAGGCCUUCCCGCCGGCUAACUCAGUGUGCCCAAGUCCCGUGACUUAGUGCCAGGACGGUGCUGUGACCCGUUAUCCCCUGUCGGAUUUUACCUCCCCCCGGGGGAGCUCAGCCCUGGAUCCCGGCGGGCGGCGGAGCCUCUCUGGAGCCCGGACGGGACAGCCCACCAGGGUCUGCUUCUGUGAGGGGCCGAGGCGUCAUUCCGCGAAGCCUUCUCCUUGCUGUCGCCAUGUGAAGAAGGAUGUGUUUGCUUCCCCUUCUGCCAUGAUUGUAAGUUUCCUGAAGCCUCUCCAGCCAUGCCAAACUGCUCUUCAUUCGAUGGACAAAAACCACAAGAUUAUCUAAAUAGAUGCAGAAAAGGCCUUCGAUAAAAAUCCUCAUUCCUUCAUGUUAAAAACUCUCAAUAAACUAGGUAUUGAUGGAACAUACCUCAAAAUAAUUAGAGCCAUUUAUGACAAACUCACAGCCAGUGUCCUCACUGAAUGGGCAAAAGCUGAAAGCAUUCUCCUUGAAAACCAGCACAGGACAAGUUUGCCCUCUCUCCCAACCCCUAUUCAAUAUAGUAUUGGAAGUUAUGGCCAUGGCAAUUGGGCAAGAGAAAAAAAUGAAGAGUAUUUAAAUGGGAAAAGAGGAAGUCAAACUAUCUUUUUUUGCAGAUGACAUAAUCCUAUAUCUAGAAAACCCAUUAUCUCAACCCAAAAGCUUCUUAAACUUCAGCAAAGUCUCAGGAUAAAAAAUCAAAGUGCAAAAAUUGCUAUACACUAAUAAUAGGCAAGCCAAGAGCCAAAUCAUGAAUGAACUUUGAUUCACAAUUGCCACAAAAAGAAUAAAAUACCUAGGAAUACAGCUAACAAGGGAAGUGAAGGACCUCUUCAAGGAGAACUACAAAGCACUGCUCAAAGAAAUCAGAGAUGAUGCAAACAAAUCGAAAAACGUUCCAUGCUCAUGGAUAGGAAGAAUCAAUAUUAUGUAAAUGGUCAUACUUCCCAAAGCAACUUAUAAAUUCAAUGUUAUUCCCAUUAAAUUACCAUUGACAUUCUUCACAGAAUUAGAAAAAACUAUUUUGAAAUUUAUAUGGAACCAAAAAAGAGCCUGAAUACUGAAAGCAAUCCUUAGCAAAAAGAACAAAAGUAGAGGCAUCAGGCUAGCUGACUUCAAACUAUACUACAGGGCUACAGUAACCAAAGUAGCAUGGUACUGGUACAAAAACAGACACAUAGACCAAUGGAAAAGAAUAGAGAAUCCAGAAAUAAGACUGCACACCUACAACUGUCUCAUCUUUGACAAACCUGACAAAAACAAGCAAUGGAGAAAGGAUUCCCUAUUUAAUAAAUGGUGCUGGGAGAACUAGCUAGCCAUAUGCAGGAUAUUGAAACUGGAACCUUCCUUAUGCCUUAUACAAAAAUCAACUCAAGAUGGAUUAAAGACUUAAAUGUAAAACUCCAAACUAUAAAAACACUAGAAGAAAACCUGGGCAAUACCAUUUAGGAUAUAGGCAUUGGCGAAGAUUUCAUGAUGAAAACACUAAAAGCAAUUGCAACAAAAGCAAAAAUUAGCAAAUGGGCCUAAUUAAACUAAAGAGCUUCUGCACAGCAAAAGGAACUAUCAACAGAGUAAAUAGACAGCCUACAGAAUGGGCGAAAAUUGUUGCAAUCUAUGUAUCUGACAAAGGCCUAAUAUCCAGAAUCUAUAAGGAACUUAAACAAAUUUACAAAAAAAAAGCAACCCCAUUAAAAAAUGGGCAAAGGACAUGAACAGACACUUCUCAAAAGAAGACAUACAUAUGGCUAACAAACAUGAAAAAAGCCUUCACAUCACUAAUUAUUAGAUAAAUGCAAAUCAAAACCACAAUGAGAUACCAUCUCACAUCAUUCAGGAUGGCGAUUAUUAAAAAGUCAAAAAAUGACAGAUGCUGAUGAGGAUGUGAAGAAAAAGGAACACUUUAAUACUAUUGGUGGGAGUGUAAAUUAGUUCAACCAUUGUGGAAAACAGUCUGGUGAUUCCUCAAAGACAAAGAGGCAGAAAUACCAUUCUACCCAGCAAUCUCAUUACUGGUUAUAUACUCAAAGGAAUAUAAAUCAUUUUCUUAUAAAGACACAUGCACAUAUAUGUUUAUUGCAGCACUAUUUACAAUAGCAGACAUAGAAUCAACCUAAAUGCCCAUCAGUGAUAGACUGGAUAAAGAAAAUGUACAUAUACAACAUGGAAUACUAUGCAGCCAUAAAAAGGAAUCAGGUCACGUGCUUCGCAGGGACAUGGAUGGAGCUGGAGGCCAUCAUCCUUAGCAAACUUACACAGGAACAGAAAACCAAAUACUGCAUGUUCUCACUUACAAGUGGGAGCUAAAUGAUGAGAAUACAUGGACACAUGGUGGGGAACAACACACACUGGGGCCUGUUGGAGAGUAGGGAGUGGGAGGAGGGAGAGGAUCAGGAAGAAUAACUAUUGGAUAAUGGGCUUAAUACCUGGGUGAUAGGAUGAUCUGUGUAGCAAACCACCAUGGCACACAUUUACCUAUGUAACAAACCUGCAUAUCCUGCACAUGUAUCCCUGAACUUAAAAGUUGGAAAUAAAAAAAAAAAGAGUGAUUAUGUCAGGGACUAGGUGGUAGCUGUGGAGAUGAUGAAAAGUGGUCAGAGUCUAGAUGUAUUUUGAAGGUGGGCUUGAUUGGCUGGUGGAUUAGAUGUGAAGGAUGAGAGAAGAAAAAGUACUAGGAUGACUCCAGAGUUUUUUCCUUGAGCAAGAAAAAAGGAUGAAUGCCAUUUACCGAGAUUAUAGAAAAUAGCCAGUCUGUUUAUUCUUACACUAUCAAUUGACACAACUUCCAGUUAAGUUCAUUUUAUUUUCUGAAAGUUACAGGAGAAGACUUUACUGGUUAUGACCUUAUAUUGCUUUAAUGGUCAUCUAUAGCCAAAAUCAUGGACAUAAAUUCUAGGGAGGGUUCCUGGUAAGCCUCCUAUUCCUGUUAUGAGAAGAAACCAGCAUGCCCAUGCUUCCCAGCAGCAUACUGUAAUUGCUAAGUGUCAGUGAUGAUGUCAGUUUUAGUGUCUCAGUAACAGUUGUUAGAGUAAGGAAGGAAGGAAGGAAGGAAGAGGAUGAAAAUAAAGAACGAAAAGUUAGAAACUAUGUAGUCCCAGCCUCUAGAAGCCAGAGGCAUGGUCUACUUAGGGUCCUCUUGAGACAGGUGAAGACUUUUCAGUGUCACAAAAUUAAUAUCACAAAGUGAUGUUAUGUUAGUAUUAUGACAUCAAAAUGUGUGGGCAGGCUGGGCGCAGUGGCUCACGCCUGUAAUCCCAGCACUUUGGGAGUCUGAGGCAGGUGGAUCACCUGAGGUCAGGAGUUCGAGACCAGCCUGGCCAACAUGGGGAAACUCCGUCUCUACUAAAAAUACAAAAUUAGUGGGGCAUGGUGGAGCAAGCCUGUAAUCCCAGCUACUGGGAAGGCUGAGGCAGGAGAAUCGCUUGAAUCCAGGAGGAGGAGGUUGCAGUGAGCCGAGAUCGUGCCAUCGCACUCCAGUCUGGGCAACAAGAGCGAAACUCCAUCUCAAAAAAAAACAAAUAAAUAAAUAAAAUAAUAAUAAUAAUAAUAAUAAUAAUAAUAAUAAUAAUAAUGUGUGGGCAGAUGUCAGCUACACCAUAGUUUCAGAAUGCAAUAAAUUCACAUUUAAAAACCUUGAAGUACACUGUAUCAAAACUUUACUUCAUCUUUCAUUCUUAUGUGAUUCAGUUGAUAGGCUAGAAGGACAAUGAAAGUGAGUUCCAUCAUGCCGCCUGGUGUCUGUGUCCUUAGAUAAAGACUGAGUGUAUUUGCAAACUCUCCGUUAAUGACAGCAUUUUUUUUUACUCUGAGCUUUAUUGAGGUAUAAUUGACAUACAAAAAUUGUACAUAUUUAAGGUGUAUAAUGUAAUGUUUUGAUAUACAUAUACAUUCUGAAAUGAUUACCAAAAUCAAGAUAAUUAACACAUCCAUCACCUCAUAGUUAUCUAUUUAGCAAAUCCUUUACUAGGUGGCAAAAUUGAUUUUAAAAUCACAUUUUUAUCCCCUUGAAAUUUUUUCAUCUGUAAAUUUUCAAGGGCAGUCUUUUAAUAGAAUACAAACAGCUCAUUCCUUCUGUGGCUCCAAGCUGGCACUUCAGCAUUGGGUUUAAAUUUUAGAGCAACAUAUGAAAAUCUCCUGAAUAAACUUGUCAAUGAUUACGGUCAUCAAAACGUAGUAUGAUCAAGGAAACUGGUUUUUGCAUAAUAUUCUGAAUAUUCUGAAUAUUCAACUCCACUGAGCUUGAAUAAAUGAAGUAUAAAUUAAACAUAUCGAUUUUUUUCUUUUGGUACAUGGUCUAUGUUAUUGCAG